GACGAACCGUCCUAACGUUGUUCGGAAUCACUGGGCUUAAAGGGCGCGUAGGCGGCCUUGAAAGUCGGGGGUGAAAUCCCACGGCCUAACCGUGGAAGUGCCUCCGAUACUGCAAGGCUCGAGGGAGGUAGGGGCAGCUGGAACUUCCGGUGGAGCGGUGAAAUGCGUUGAUAUCGGAAGGAACGCCGGUGGCGAAAGCGAGCUGCUGGACCUCUGCUGACGCUGAGGCGCGAAAGCCAGGGGAGCAAACGGGG
rnacentral:rRNA from 1 species